ACAUCCAAGAGUGACAUGGACACUGUUGAUCACGGUGUCCAAAACUGUUAAAUUGAGACACAGGUUAUGCUUCCAUCACAGCCAAUGAAUUGCAGUGGUGACAAUGAGUCCUGUAACAAUU
ensembl:snoRNA